rnacentral:lncRNA from 13 species
UCAACUAUUCCACUCUUUUCUGACAAUUGCUUUUAAUUUGUAUCCAUACGUGAACAGUUCUUGCUUGCCUACAGAUGGAAAAACGCUGAGUGCGUUGGAGGAGGGAGACCGAGCACUCCUGCAUCCAGUGGUCAUUAGUUGGGUGUAUUUGAGCGUGUCGAAGGACGAUUCGUCCGCCAGCGAGCCGAUGGGAGGAGAGCCGGCGGCCAUGAUGGAGCCAAGCUCGGAAAUAUUUUAGUCUAUGGUAUCCAGCUUUAUCACUCAUAGGAAGCUACACUUUGGGGCGGUCAGUGGAGAGGGUGGCCCAGAUGUCAUGUGCUCUGAUCCGGGACAGAAGCCCCGCCCUUACAGGACAGCUGCUCCAGGCGUGAGUCAACCCGGAAGAGCAGACCACUUCGUCCAGCCUCGCCUUGGACCACCCUUAUCACUACUACCCACCUAUGACUUUGCUACAAGGUGUGUGUUUGAGAAACACUCUGAGCCUUCAAACUCUGUGUAUGACAUGAACUGCACGAGAAAAAGGAACCGUGUGAUAGGGAAGAGUUUAACAUGGAGACAGUUCGCUUUGCAAGUGUGUGAGACUAUCUAUAGUCCUAUGGUCUGAGACUUCAAACAGUACUGUGUUUCAUUCACAUGGAGAAAUACUACAGUUUACUAUAGAAUACUACAGUACUUACUAAAUAAUUCUGUAGUAAACUGCAGUAUAAUAUACUACACACUGUAGUAUCCCUCGAUCAUGUGAUGUACUUACUAUAGAAUGCUGUAGAAUACUAUAGUAAAUACUACAGUAAUGUCCGCAAAAACACUAUACUUUUUUAACUAGAGUAAAUACUACAGCAUUACCCUCCCUCAUAUCCCAAUUUGUGCCACCCAUCAAUGUGUUCCCCACAAGUUUUAGACAGAGCAGAAGCUCUGAACUAUCCAUUCAGACCCCAGUCCUACCUACCUACAAGUUAUAGACAGAGCAGAAGCUCUGAACUAUCAAUUCAGACCCCAGUCCUACCUACCUACAGGUUAUAGACAGAGCAGAAGCUCUGAACUAUCCAUUCAGACCCCAGUCCUACCUACCUACAGGUUAUAGAAAAGAGCAGAAGCUCUGAACUAUCCAUUCAGACCCCAGUCCUACCUACCUACAAGUUAUAGACAGAGCAGAAGCUCUGAACUAUCCAUUCAGACCCCAGUCCUACCUACCUACAAGUUAUAGACAGAGCAGAAGCUCUGAACUAUCCAUUCAGACCCCAGUUCUACCUACCUACAGGUUAUAGAAAAUAGCAUAAGCUCUGAACUAUCCGUUCAGACCCCAGUCCUACCUACCUACAGGUUAUAGAAAAUGAGCUCUCUUAAUAUUUCUCCACUGGUUUCCUGAAGGAGAAAGCCUCCACUUCUAUGUCAAAGAUAAUAAAGCAAAAACACCAUAGUAAAUACUACAGUAAUGUCCGCAAAAACACUACAGUAAAUACUACAGUAAAUACUACAGUUUGCUAUAACACAACAGUAAAUACUACUGUAAAACGCUACAUUAAUUACUAUAGUAUAUACUACAGUUUUCUAUUACUACAGUAUUUAUACUAUAGUUACCUGUAAAUACUACAUAUUACAACAGUAUACUACAGUAAACACUACAGUAAAGUCUGCAAAAACACUGCACUUAAUACUAUAGUAUAUAUACCAUAGUAUGCUAUAGUUUUUUAUGUGGAAUGGUCUCUAGAUCACUGGAUAAAGGUGCUGCUGAAUGGAGGAGAGGAGUUGGCAUUACUGUAUACAUGUGUGAUUUUGUACUGCCAUGUUUGAGUGGAGGUUUAAAAUGAGUGGCACAUUGAAAUGUUAUUAAAAUAUUGCUUUCAAUAAAAAUGACUUUUCUUUUCGUUUUAGCCAUCACAUAAAUUGUCUUUGUUUUGAUUAUGCUAUGACCGCAACAUUGUGGGGUUCGCAGACCACCCCGGACAUCUCCUGUUGUUUUCAGUACUGUAUUGACCAUUUUGUAGAGAAUGUCCCUAUGGCAUUACAAUGACACAAUCCCGACGGGUGCCUAUUCCAUUCAAACGGAUACAGUAGCACAGACCUUACUUCAGUGUUCCUGGUAAAUAUACAGAUCGUGAUAGGGACAAGUGUAAUUGCUUUGUCUGAGACCCCACACAUCAGUUGAGCCCAUAAUGAAGCAGCUUAGUCCUAUUGAAGCUCCAGCUUCUUCACAGUAACUGUGAAGCUGCAUGGACUAAUCAUACACAGUAAGAGGGAGCCCAAGGCAAUAGUCUAUCAUCCUACUGUAAGUCUUUAAGUGAGGCAUAGUACAAAGGUAUACAGAACCCAGGUUAGUAGUGUAACUUUGUUUCCCCCUACUCUCAGUCAGCCAUCGCUCAAACCUGUAUGUGUGUGUGUGUGUGUGUGUGUGUGUGUGUGUGAACGAACGAGUAGGCUACACAUUGGCUACAGU